rfam:Burkholderia sp. ST111 contig_96, whole genome shotgun sequence.
CGCGUUUUUCGCCCAGGCGGAGCUCGACCGCCGUUUGAAAUCCUGAAGGCCUUCGUCGACCAGCAUCGCGAUACCUUUGGGGUCGAGCCAAUCUGCAGGGUCUUGCAGAUUGCCCCG